rnacentral:rRNA from 1 species
AGAGUUUGAUCCUGGCUCAGAUUGAACGCUGGCGGCAUGCUUUACACAUGCAAGUCGAACGGCAGCACGGGGGCAACCCUGGUGGCGAGUGGCGAACGGGUGAGUAAUAUAUCGGAACAUAUCCGGAAGUGGGGGAUAACGUACCGAAAGGUACGCUAAUACCGCAUAUGCCCUGAGGGGGAAAGGGGGGGAUCGCAAGACCUCUCGCUUUCGGAGUGGCCGAUAUCGGAUUAGCUAGUUGGUGAGGUAAAGGCUCACCAAGGCGACGAUCCGUAGCUGGUCUGAGAGGACGACCAGCCACACUGGAACUGAGACACGGUCCAGACUCCUACGGGAGGCAGCAGUGGGGAAUUUUGGACAAUGGGCGAA